UUCAAAUAUAAAUGGACAAAUAUAUAAUUGAAUCAACAAUGACACGUCAAAUCGAGUGAAUCGAUUGAUUUAAAUCAACACAUUUUGAAAAUAAAAAAGCCAUCAGGACAGGUUCAAAACCAGGCCUAAAUACAUGGGGCGUUGCCUGAUUUUGAACCUGGCCAAAAAGCAGGAUUGUUUUGAAAAUUUACAAAAUAGAAGUGCAAAUAUUUGAACCAAUCACAUCGGGUAUGCAAGAGUCAUAUUUUUCAAUUGGAAUACCCCCAUUAUUUGAUAGAAUUGGCUCUUGUUUGAGCUCCAUUAUUUUCAUAAAAAUGUAUUUUUGAAUAGUGUAUUGAUGGAAAAUGUAUAGUUAAAUAGAUUUGCAUGUAAUAUUAUUUUAUUGAAGAAUAUAUGGUUAAAAUGAUAUUAAAACACCAUAAUGUACACGUGGCAUAACAUCUUUGCAGGGUUGGAAAAUAGUGUACGUUAUGGACAUCCUUAUGAAUACCAUAAUCUACAUGUAACAUAACCCACGAAACAUACAUCACAUACUUUUUAGAUAUUUUUCAAAAAAAAAAAUUAUAUAUAUAUAUAUGUGUGUGUGUGUGUGUGUGUGUGUAGAGAGAGAGAGAGAAGUUAUAUGAAAAACUCAUAGUUAUAUCUAUGCCCCCCUUUUUUGAAAAUAAAUAAAUAAAUCACCUUCAGACUCUGCAAUAUUUUAUCAAUUGACAAGUUACCUACUGACCUAGUGCUUUGGCUAGAUUAAUGAUCAGAUUGGACGUGAUAGCUAUUGUACCAUUGAUGCAAGAAAAGAUCAAAACGGACAUUGCACCAUUUGAUGCAAAAAAUGGUGCAAUGAACAGUGUUGUACCAUUUUGCACAAAAUGGUGUAAUAGGUAGGGGUGGGCACGGGUCGGUUCGAUUCAGUUCGGUUCUCUUUAGAACCGAACCGAACCGAACCAAACUUUUCGGGUAUCUAGUAAAUGAAACCGUCGGGUCCAAAUAUAAUUAUGGAACCGUUCAGGUUCGGUUCCAUUCGAUUCAGUUAGGUUCAGUUCGGUUCCGUUCGAUUCUGUACUAUAAUUAAAUUUUUUAACAUUUAUAACAACAUUAUAUAAAUACGACUAAUGAUAUAUUCAAUGGUUUUGGAAUGUCAGAGACUAGAAAACUACCUUGUUCAAAUGAUUGCUACGAUCAAAACUUCGGUCGGCGAAAGUCACGGCUUCGAUCGGAGGUCAUAGUGUCGGCCGACGAUUGUAUAAGUUUUGGAAUAUUAGCGAGGCUGCGAGAGUGAGUGUGAGAGUCGAGACAAUAUUAUGCACUUUAUUGUAGGUGUUUAGGGUUAUUUAGUGGAUUUGAUCUUGUUUGGCUAAGAAAUGAAACAAUAAAAUGGGUAAUUGGGCCAAAAAUUAAAAAAAUUAGAAAUGAAACAAAUUAUUGGGCCAAAAAUUUGGAUUUAGA
rnacentral:lncRNA from 1 species